rnacentral:rRNA from 1 species
AGGAUGAACGCUAGCGGCAGGCUUAACACAUGCAAGUCGAGGGGUAUAGUUCUUCGGAAUUAGAGACCGGCGCACGGGUGCGUAACGCGUAUGCAAUCUACCUUUCACAGAGGGAUAGCCCAGAGAAAUUUGGAUUAAUACCUCAUAGUAUAGCAGUUUCGCAUGAAGCCACUAUUAAAGUCACAACGGUGAAAGAUGAGCAUGCGUCCCAUUAGCUAGUUGGUAAGGUAACGGCUUACCAAGGCAACGAUGGGUAGGGGUCCUGAGAGGGAGAUCCCCCACACUGGUACUGAGACACGGACCAGACUCCUACGGGAGGCAGCAGUGAGGAAUAUUGGACAAUGGGCGCAAGCCUGAUCCAGCCAUGCCGCGUGCAGGAUGACGGUCCUAUGGAUUGUAAACUGCUUUAUACAGGAAGAAACACUACUUCGUGAAGUAGCUUGACGGUACUGUAAGAAUAAGGAUCGGCUAACUCCGUG